rnacentral:rRNA from 1 species
AGCUCCAAUAGCGUAUAUUAAAGUUGUUGCAGUUAAAAAGCUCGUAGUUGGAUUUCUGGUAGGAGCAUACAAGUCCCUACUAAGUGGGGAUAUCUGUAGUGUCUCCGGCCAUCCUUGGGUGGAAGCUAUUUGGCAUUAAGUUGUUGAGUAGUUGAUGCCCAUCAUUUACUGUGAAAAAAUUAGAGUGCUCAAAGCAGGCUUUUACGCCUGAAUAUUCGUGCAUGGAAUAAUAGAAUAGGAAGUCGUUUCUAUUUUGUUGGUUUUCGGAAAUCGACUUAAUGAUUAAUAGGGACAGUCGGGGGCAUUUGUAUUCAAACGACAGAGGUGAAAUUCUUGGACCGUUUGAAGACAAACUACUGCGAAAGCAUUUGCCAAGAAUGUUU